GCAUACCAGGCGCGACAGGUGGGCGGACACAGAAGGCGACGCCUAGGGCUGUGUUGUCCCGGAAGUGCCUUCUCUCCUCCCGGGUCUGCGCGGACGCGGCCUCCUUACCUCAUUUGUCCUCGCCCCUCCCCGUCCCUCUACGCGUUUUGGUCCCUGUUUGGUGCUUUCUGUUUGCAGCUACGGCAGUGAAUCUGGGCAUAGGAACCAAUCAGAAACAAUCGCUUCAGCAAUCAAGACCAUUGUUCAUCAUGGAGGAACCCAUGGAUACCUCUGAGCCUCUAUCUGCAUUACCAUUCACUGGGCAGCAGUCUUUUGAGCCAAGUGGCAAAUUUGGACAGUAUCCAUCGAUGCAGAUGAACCACAUCCAGGCACUGGGGAAGUGGAGGACAUAGAACAGCUCAAUCAGUGUUUGAUCCAACACUUCCAUCUCAUUAAGACAAGUUUGAUUUUUCUUUGCUUUUUAUUUCAUGGAAUACAUGAGAAUCUCUUAACUGUUGGAGUUUCCAAGGAGGCAUACCUCAUGACUUCAGUUAAUGGAAAGAACAAAACUAAAAUGCUGUAUGGCCAAAGCCACAAAGGGAAGGAUCCACAAUUUACAUUCUUGGAGCUAUCAUCUGUACUGUACUGUUGUGAUCUACUGAUUGGCAUUGGCAUAGUAGUAGGGGUCAAGUGACAGAAUCCGUGCCAGCAGUCUCCAGGUUCAGAAGCAAUUCAAGACCCUGAUGAUAGCUCUCCAGCAACCAACACAUGGUGAUUGUGCCAACUUGUUGCUCAGUUAUAAUGCAGGGCCAGUGAUUGGUUUAAGUGAAGACCAUGGUUGAGAUCAUUUGUCUUUGGUCUAAUAGAAUUUGAGUCUAGUAGAAUUUGAGUCUCCAGGGAAAGAGCUACUUGACCAAAUUAAACUAGUAGCAGGUAGAGCAUGAAUGACAGCAUAUUAUACCAUCAAGAUGUUCUUAGAGCAGUGUAUGGAUGGAUCGAUUGUACUGCCAUCAGUUGUGACUGACGUUGUAUUCAAGGAGAAAGAGAAACUUGUUUAGAAAGCACUUUGAAAGUUUUUUGAGUACGGGGGUGCCCUGUAUCACCCCGUUAUGGUUGAACUUUCUCCUUCAAAAUUACCAGACUUGGCAGCAGUGGCAAAUUAUUGGGCUAAAAGACUUAAUCAGACAUAUUCUGGGUUCAAGGCUCCUAAUAUAAUACCUGGUGCAAACAUUAUACUUCCACUCAUUCAGAUGGUUGCAUCCUGCCAGGCAUCCAGUGGGACUGGGAAUAUGGACACUUGAACAUUAAACAUCCUGAAGAAUUUUGGAAUGACAGGUUACAAGUGAACAUAAUCAGUUCUCUAUAUUAAAAAAAAAAAAAGAUUUGGGCAUAGAUUGGGCUCACAUAAUCUUUAGAGAGAUUUUUUCAUUUUUGUGAAAGUACAGAAAUUCUUAACUGCUUAUGAAAUGCUGAUUGUUAAACAGCAUCCACAGCUAUUUUGUGUUGUUUCCCUGACCCCACCCUGAAGAAAAGAAAAAUUAUGGCAUAUUGAAAACAGCAGUAUGAUGUAAGAGAAAAGAUCACAAAUUCCUUGAGGGUGGGUCUUUUCCAUACUCAUAAGCCUAUUUAUAAUAUUCAGAGUAAUUUAUUGACACAUAUUAAUAUUCCCUCCUAUCCCAUUAAUUGCCAAAUCAUCAAACAUUUAUUGAGCACCUACUCUGUGUAGGGUGUAAGCAGUACUGGGGACUUACAGUGAUAAAAGACAUAGUUUUAGCCUUAAGUGAUGUACUGUUUCACUGAAGAGAUGGAAUAUAAGAAGCCAAGUAAUUUAUGGAAUUCUCUUCUUUGUUUUUCUUUUUUUUUUUUGGCAGUGGAGUCUUGCUCUUUAAAUAGAGCAAGGCUAGUCUGGAACUCCUGGGCUCAUGUGGUCCUCCCGCCUUAGCUUUCAGUGUAGCUGGGACUACAGGUGUGAACACAGCUUGGAAAUCUCUUAACCAUGGGAGUUAAGUCUCAAAAUUCUGGUGAUACAAGUGGUUGAAACUUAAAACUGUAUUUAAAAAAUAGGAUUCGUGAAUUUGAGAUAGUUCAUAAGUCUGCAAAAGGCUGUAUAAAUACAUAUUUUACAUUUACUAUUAUUAAUUUUGUAGUAAAUUUGAGUACAGCACUCUCUUUAUCUGUGGAAACUUCAGACUCUCCCCUAUUACUUUAAUUUCAGUGAGACAUUAUUAAAUAUAAGUGGGCUUACACA
ensembl:lncRNA EBLN3P endogenous Bornavirus like nucleoprotein 3, pseudogene